UGGCGAAAUAGCACAGCCGGAUAGUAAA
rnacentral:sRNA from 1 species